rnacentral:tRNA from 1 species
GCCCGGAUGGCGGAAUCGGCAGACGCAGGAGGCUUAAACCCUCCGACCGGCGACGGUGUGUGGGUUCAAGUCCCACUCCGGGCACCU